rnacentral:ncRNA from 2 species
AGCAGCCGCGGUAAUUCCAGCUCCAAUAGCGUAUAUUAAAGUUGUUGCAGUUAAAAAGCUCGUAGUUGAAUUUCGGGAUCAAAGGAUCGGUCAUGCCUUGGUAUGUACUGGUUUUAUUGGUUCUCACCUUCUAAAGAACCAUAAUGUCAUUCAUUUGAUGUUAUGGGGAAUUAGGACUGUUACCUUGAAAAAAUUAGAGUGUUUAAAGCAGGCUUACGCUUGAAUACAUUAGCAUGGAAUAAUGAAAUAGGACAUCAGAUUCUAUUUUGUUGGUUUCUAGGAUCGAUGUAAUGAUUAAUAGGGAUAGUUGGGGGCAUUAGUAUUCAAUUGUCAGAGGUGAAAUUCUUGGAUUUAUUGAAGACUAACUACUGCGAAAGCAUUUGCCAAGGAUGUUUUCAUUAAUCAAGAACGAAAGUUAGGGGAUCGAAGACGAUCAGAUACCGUCGUAGUCUUAACCAUAAACUAUGCCGACUAGGGAUCGGAUGAUGUUAAUUUUAUAAUGACUCAUUCGGCACCUUAC